rnacentral:rRNA from 1 species
GUAGGGAAUCUUCCACAAUGGGCGCAAGCCUGAUGGAGCAACACCGCGUGAGUGAAGAAGGGUUUCGGCUCGUAAAGCUCUGUUGUUAAAGAAGAACACGUAUGAGAGUAACUGUUCAUACGUUGACGGUAUUUAACCAGAAAGUCACGGCUAACUACGUGCCAGCAGCCGCGGUAAUACGUAGGUGGCAAGCGUUAUCCGGAUUUAUUGGGCGUAAAGAGAGUGCAGGCGGUUUUCUAAGUCUGAUGUGAAAGCCUUCGGCUUAACCGGAGAAGUGCAUCGGAAACUGGAUAACUUGAGUGCAGAAGAGGGUAGUGGAACUCCAUGUGUAGCGGUGGAAUGCGUAGAUAUAUGGAAGAACACCAGUGGCGAAGGCGGCUACCUGGUCUGCAACUGACGCUGAGACUCGAAAGCAUGGGUAGCGAACAGGAUUAGAUACCCUGGUAGUCC